rnacentral:rRNA from 1 species
CAGUAGCCGCGGGAAAACGGAGGGUGCAAGCGUUAAUCGGAAUUACUGGGCGUAAAGCGCACGCAGGCGGUUUGUUAAGUCUGCUGUGAAAUCCCCGGGCUCAACCUGGGAAUGGCAAUGGAUACUGGCAAGCUAGAGUGUGUCAGAGGAUGGUGGAAUUCCCGGUGUAGCGGUGAAAUGCGUAGAGAUCGGGAGGAACAUCAGUGGCGAAGGCGGCCAUCUGGGACAACACUGACGCUGAGGCACGAAAGCGUGGGGAGCAAACAGGAUUAGAUACCCGCGUAGUCCCUGUCUCUUAUAC